GACGAACGCUGGCGGCGUGCCUAAUACAUGCAAGUCGAACGCAUUUUCUUUCACCGUAGCUUGCUACACCGAAAGAAAAUGAGUGGCGAACGGGUGAGUAACACGUGGGUAACCUGCCCAUCAGCGGGGGAUAACACUUGGAAACAGGUGCUAAUACCGCAUAAUUCCAUUUACCGCAUGGUAGAUGGGUGAACGGGGCUUUUGCGUCACUGAUGGAUGGACCCGCGGUGCAUUAGCUAGUUGGUGGGGUAAGGGCCUACCAAGGCUGCGAUGCAUAGCCGACCUUAGAGGGUGAUCGGCCACACUGGGACUGAGACACGGCCCAGACUCCUACGGGAGGCAGCAGUAGGGAAUCUUCGGCAAUGGACGCAAGUCUGACCGAGCAACGCCGCGUGAGUGAAGAAGGUUUUCGGAUCGUAAAACUCUGUUGUUAGAGAAGAACAAGGAUGAGAGUGGAAAGUUCAUCCCUUGACGGUAUCUAACCAGAAAGCCACGGCUAACUACGUG
rnacentral:rRNA from 1 species